rnacentral:rRNA from 1 species
UCGAGAAUCUUCGGCAAUGAGCGCAAGCUUGACCGAGCGACGCCGCGUGCGGGAUGAAGGCCCUCGGGUUGUAAACCGCUGUCGUAGGGGAGGAAAUCUGACCGGGGUUCUCCCCGGUAGUUGACCUAUCCUAGGAGGAAGUACGGGCUAAGUUCGUGCCAGCAGCCGCGGUAACACGAACCGUACGAACGUUAUUCGGAAUCACUGGGCUUAAAGGGUUUGUAGGCGGCCUUGCAAGUGGGGUGUGAAAUCCCUCGGCUCAACCGAGGAAUAGCGCUCCAAACUGCAUGGCUUGAGGGAGACAGGGGUAAGCGGAACUGAUGGUGGAGCGGUGAAAUGCGUUGAUAUCAUCAGGAACACCGGUGGCGAAAGCGGCUUACUGGGUCUCUUCUGACGCUGAGAAACGAAAGCUAGGGUAGCGAACGG